rnacentral:rRNA from 2 species
AGCAUAUCAAUAAGCGGAGGAAAAGAAACUAACAAGGAUUCCCCUAGUAACUGCGAGUGAAGCGGGAAAAGCUCAAAUUUAAAAUCUGGCGGUCUAUGGCCGUCCGAGUUGUAGUCUGGAGAAGUGCUUUCCGCGCUGGACCGUGUACAAGUCUCUUGGAACAGAGCGUCAUAGAGGGUGAGAAUCCCGUCUUUGACACGGACUACCAGUGCUUUGUGAUGCGCUCUCAAAGAGUCGAGUUGUUUGGGAAUGCAGCUCAAAAUGGGUGGUAAAUUCCAUCUAAAGCUAAAUAUUGGCGAGAGACCGAUAGCGAACAAGUACCGUGAGGGAAAGAUGAAAAGCACUUUGGAAAGAGAGUUAAACAGUACGUGAAAUUGCUGAAAGGGAAACGCUUGAAGUCAGUCGCGUUGGCCAGGACUCAGCCUUGCUUUUGCUUGGUGCAUUUUCUGGUUGACGGGCCAGCAUCGAUUUUGAUCGCCGGAAAAAGGCUGGGGGAAUGUGGCACCUUCGGGUGUGUUAUAGCCUUCAGUCACAUACGGCGGUUGGGAUCGAGGACCGCAGCACGCCUUUAUGGCCGGGGUUCGCCCACGUUCGUGCUUAGGAUGCUGGCGUAAUGGCUUUAAACGACCCGUCUUGAAACACGGACCAAGGAGUCUAACAUGCCUGCGAGUGUUUGGGUGGUAAACCCGAGCGCGUAAUGAAAGUGAAAGUUGAGAUCCUUAUCAUGAGGAGCAUCGACGCCCGGACCUGAACUUCGGUGAUGGAUCUGCGGUAGAGCAUGUAUGUUGGGACCCGAAAGAUGGUGAACUAUGCCUGAAUAGGGUGAAGCCAGAGGAAACUCUGGUGGAGGCUCGUAGCGAUUCUGACGUGCAAAUCGAUCGUCAAAUUUGGGUAUAGGGGCGAAAGACUAAUCGAACCAUCUAGUAGCUGGUUCCUGCC